UGUGAGCCAGGUUGGUUUCUAUCUUUUAAUUAUUUAAAUAUUUUAGUACGAAAGGAUCAAAUAUUUUAAUUAAAUUAAUAUAAAAUUUUGAUUAUUAUUAAUAAAUUCAAUAUAAAAUUAAUAUUUUAAUUUAUAAAGAACUAUUUUG
rnacentral:rRNA from 1 species